UACGUAGGGGGCUAGCGUUGUCCGGAUUUAUUGGGCGUAAAGAGCGUGUAGGCGGCCAGGUAGGUCUGCUGUGAAAACUCGAGGCUCAACCUCGAGACGUCGGCGGAAACCAUCUGGCUAGAGUCCGGAAGAGGAGAGUGGAAUUCCUGGUGUAGCGGUGAAAUGCGCAGAUAUCAGGAAGAACACCCGUGGCGAAGGCGGCUCUCUGGGACGGUACUGACGCUGAGACGCGAAAGCGUGGGGAGCGAACAGGAUAGAACCGAACGAG
rnacentral:rRNA from 1 species